rnacentral:rRNA from 1 species
AAUGAACGUUGGCGGCGUGGAUUAGGCAUGCAAGUCGUGCGGAAAGGCUCCUUCGGGAGUACUCGAGCGGCGAAAGGGAGAGUGACGCGUGGAUUAUCUACCCUCUGGUUCGGGAUAGCGGUGGGAAACUACCGGUAAUACCGAAUAACGUCUCCGGACCAAAGGUGUGAUUCCGCCGGGGGAUGAGUCCGCGUCCUAUUAGCUUGUUGGUGGGGUAACGGUCUACCAAGGCAAAGAUGGGUACCGGGUGUGAGAGCAUGGCCCGGCUCACUGGGACUGAGACACUGCCCAGACACCUACGGGUGGCUGCAGUCGAGAAUCUUCGGCAAUGGGCGCAAGCCUGACCGAGCGACGCCGCGUGCGGGAUGAAGGCCCUCGGGUUGUAAACCGCUGUCAGAGGGGAGGAAAUGCUUGAGGGUUCUCUCCCAAGUUUGACCUAUCCUCAGAGGAAGUACGGGCUAAGUUCGUG